rnacentral:rRNA from 1 species
AUUGAACGCUGGCGGCAGGCCUAACACAUGCAAGUCGAGCGGAGCGUCGGACGGGUGAGUAAUGCCUAGGAAUCUGCCUGGUAGUGGGGGAUAACGUCCGGAAACGGGCGCUAAUACCGCAUACUUUCAGAUGAGCCUAGGUCGGAUUAGCUAGUUGGUGGGGUAAAGGCCUACCAAGGCGACGAUCCGUAACUGGUCUGAGAGGAUGAUCAGUCACACUGGAGCUGGUAAACGGUCCAGACUUCUACGGGGGGCAGCAGUGGGGGAUCUUCCGGAAUUGGCGGAAAGCUGGCGGGGCAAAGGCGCGGGAGGGGUGACGGCUUUCGGGUUGUAAAGCUCUGUUAAUCGGGACGCGGUACCGGAAUAGAAAGCCACGGCUAACUACGUGCCAGCAGCCGCGGUAAUUC